rnacentral:rRNA from 1 species
UAGGUGGCAAGCGUUAUCCGGAAUUAUUGGGCGUAAUGCGCGCGUAGGCGGUUUUUUAAGUCUGAUGUGAAAGCCCACGGCUCAACCGUGGAGGGUCAUUGGAAACUGGAAAACUUGAGUGCAGAAGAGGAAAGUGGAAUUCCAUGUGUAGCGGUGAAAUGCGCAGAGAUAUGGAGGAACACCAGUGGCGAAGGCGACUUUCUGGUCUGUAACUGACGCUGAUGUGCGAAAGCGUGGGGAUCAAACAGGAUUAGAUACCCUGGUAGUCCACGCCGUAAACGAUGAGUGCUAAGUGUUAGGGGGUUUCCGCCCCUUAGUGCUGCAGCUAACGCAUUAAGCACUCCGCCUGGGGAGUACGACCGCAAGGUUGAAACUCGAAGGAAUUGACGGGGACCCGCACAAGCGGUGGAGCAUGUGGUUUAAUUCGAAGCAACGCGAAGAACCUUACCAAAUCUUGACAUCCUCUGACUCCUCUAGAGAUAGAGUUUUCCCCUUCGGGGGACAGAGUGACAGGUGGUGCAUGGUUGUCGUCAGCUCGUGUCGUGAGAUGUUGGGUUAAGUCCCGCAACGAGCGCAACCCUUAAGCUUAGUUGCCAUCAUUAAGUUGGGCACUCUAAGUUGACUGCCGGUGACAAACCGGAGGAAGGUGGGGAUGACGUCAAAUCAUCAUGCCCCUUAUGAUUUGGGCUACACACGUGCUACAAUGGACAAUACAAAGGGUAGCGAAACCCGGGGGUCAAGCAAAUCCCAUAAAAGUUUUCUCAGUUCGGAUUGUAGUUUGCAACUCGACUAUAUGAAGAUGGAAUCGCUAGUAAUCGUAGAUCAGCAUGCUACGGUGAAUACGUUCCCGGGUCUU